UCUGCAGUCCUGUUCCUAUUCUCUUGACUCCAAAAAUGGUGUGUGCAAUAGAACUUCUCGUUAAGUACAGGGAAACUUGUUGGGUUCUCAAAGACAACACUUACCUGUUUGCAAGACCCACAGAGAUGACACAUUUCUGUGGUUCUGACUGCAUACGAGACUAUGCAAAAGCAUGUCAUGCAAAGUGUCCUGUGUCACUUACAUCCACGAAACUACGAAAACAUGAUGCCACCCUUUCAACUGUGCUAAACAUGACAGACACAGAGAUGGACCAGCUGGCCAACUUUCUUGGCCAUGAUAUUAGAAUCCAUCGCAGGUUCUAUAGACUCCCUGAAAAGACACUGCAGCUGGCAAAAAUCAGCAAAGUUUUGAUGGCACUCGAGCAAGGUCGAUUAUCUGAAUUCCAUGGAAUUAACUUGAAUUAAAUCACAAUUGGUCCAAAUGGUAAGUUGUCAUCUUUGUUGUUUGUUUGGUUUGAACUCAAUUAUAAGCUUAACAUGUUAUGUGUACCACAGAAUGUGUUUUGGAAACUGAAGAGGAAGAUCUCACCAGAGAGGAAUAACACUAUUCAUGUCCUGACAAUGAAGAGGUGUCCUUUCCAGCCACUGAGGAUGAACACAUCCCGCCCCCCAAGAGACUGACACAACUUUCAAAAGACAGGGAUGCAUCAUCACGACAUCGUGCAGUGAGACAUACUUCCAAUGGUCUAUAAUUAUUUCCAUCAUUAAGUAAAGCUGCCCAGAAAAGGCGACCCUGGACACAGAAAGAGGUGAAGGCCGUCGAGAAGCACAUGAACCGAUUCAUCCCUUCUGGUAUUGUACCAGGAAAGAGUGACUGUUUAAAAUGUUUGAGGGCCAAACCGGAAGUUCUCCAAAACCGGGAAUGGCAAGCAUUGAAGUUCUAUGUGUUCAACCGCAUUACGGCCUACAAAAGGAGAUUGCAGCUAAAAUAGUAGAUUAAGAGAUAAUCAGCAAGACUGGUUAAGUAGAACCGUUUUUUAUGUGAUUUAUGUUCAAUGUUGUUUAAAAUAAAGAAUAAAAUGAAAGUUUAAAUUAGUUUUCUUGAAAAUGUGUUAUCCCGGCAUUAAAGGCCUACUGAAAC